rnacentral:rRNA from 1 species
GUGGGGAAUAUUGGACAAUGGGGGGAACCCUGAUCCAGCCAUGCCGCGUGUGUGAAGAAGGCCUUUUGGUUGUAAAGCACUUUAAGCGAGGAGGAGGCUACCGAGAUUAAUACUCUUGGAUAGUGGACGUUACUCGCAGAAUAAGCACCGGCUAACUCUGUGCCAGCAGCCGCGGUAAUACAGAGGGUGCAAGCGUUAAUCGGAUUUACUGGGCGUAAAGCGCGCGUAGGUGGCCAAUUAAGUCAAAUGUGAAAUCCCCGAGCUUAACUUGGGAAUUGCAUUCGAUACUGGUUGGCUAGAGUAUGGGAGAGGAUGGUAGAAUUCCAGGGGUAGCGGUGAAAUGCGUAGAGAUCUGGAGGAAUACCGAUGGCGAAGGCAGCCAUCUGGCCUAAUACUGACACUGAGGUGCGAAAGCAUGGGGAGCAAACAGGAUUAGAUACCCGAGUAGUCC